AGAGUUGAUCAUGGCUCAGAAUCAACGCUGGCGGCGUGCCUAACACAUGCAAGUCGAACGCGAAAGUCCCGCAAGGGAUCAGUAGAGUGGCAAACGGGUGAGUAACGCGUGGGUGACCUGCCUUCGAGCGGGGGAUAACGUUCCGAAAGGGACGCUAAUACCGCAUAACAUCCUGCUUUUUAAGAGGUGGAGAUCAAAGCCGGGGAUCGCAAGACCUGGCACUCGAAGAGGGGCCCGCGUCCGAUUAGCUAGUUGGUGGGGUAAUGGCUCACCAAGGCUCCGAUCGGUAUCCGGCCUGAGAGGGCGGACGGACACACUGGGACUGAGACACGGCCCAGACUCCUACGGGAGGCAGCAGUGGGGAAUUGUUCGCAAUGGGCGCAAGCCUGACGACGCAACGCCGCGUGGAGGAUGAAGAUCUUCGGGUCGUAAACUCCUUUCGAUCGAGACGAACGGCUUCCGGGUGAACAAUCCGGGAGAGUGACGGUACCGAGAGAAGAAGCCCCGGCUAACUCCGUGCCAGCAGCCGCGGUA
rnacentral:rRNA from 1 species